GUGCCUUUACCUUCUAUUGUCAUUCUGUGUCGCAGGUCUUGCUGCAGUCGGCUCUGUGUGUCCUCUAGUUCGAGCUCCUGAGCGCUAAGAGAGAGGAGAAAAUUGGGUGACUUCACAGAACCAGUUUAAACCAGGACUGAUACAGCUGGGCCUCAUCACUGUCAUCUGUCUGAGAAGAUUCUGGAAGGGGCACAGUAAGGAAGGAAGGAAGCGAGGUAGGAAGGAGAGAGGGGGAUAGAUCUCUCUGUUUCUCCUCAACCUCCUCCAGCUGCCUCUGGAUGGCCUGCGUGAUGCGGUAAUGGGACAUCACAGGACACACAUGAUCAAACGUGAUGAUAUUUUGUCCAGGUUUUGAGAUGUCUUUCUUUUCAGAUUUCUGCUUCCACCUCUAUGCCAUGUACGUGAAAGGAAUUUAGUGUGUGGUGGCUAUAAAAUAAAUUCCACUGCAAUAUCUCUUUCCAGAGAGCGCACUGUCAAGAGAUUUUAUUUUAUUUUUUUUUACUAAAAAGUACUUAGAAUUAAUUCAUUGUU